GACGAACGCUGGCGGCGUGCUUAACACAUGCAAGUCGAACGGAAAGGCCCUGCUUUUGUGGGGUGCUCGAGUGGCGAACGGGUGAGUAACACGUGAGUAACCUGCCCUUGACUUUGGGAUAACUUCAGGAAACUGGGGCUAAUACCGGAUAGGAGCUCCUGCUGCAUGGUGGGGGUUGGAAAGUUUCGGCGGUUGGGGAUGGACGCGCGGCUUAUCAGCUUGUUGGUGGGGUAGUGGCUUACCAAGGCUUUGACGGGUAGCCGGCCUGGGAGGGUGACCGGCCACAUUGGGACUGAGAUACGGCCCAGACGCCUACGGGAGGCAGCAGUGGGGAAUAUUGCACAAUGGGCGGAAGCGUGAUGCAGCAACGCCGCGUGCGGGAUGACGGCUUUCGGGUUGGAAACCGCUUUCGCCUGUGACGAGGCGUGAGUGACGGUAAUGGGGAAAGAAGCACCGGCGAAUUACGU
rnacentral:rRNA from 1 species